rnacentral:rRNA from 1 species
AUACGUAGGGGGCGAGCGUUGUCCGGAAUGAUUGGGCGUAAAGGGCGCGUAGGCGGCCUGUUAAGUCUGGAGUGAAAGUCCUGUUUUUAAGAUGGGAAUUGCUUUGGAUACUGUCGGGCUUGAGUGCAGGAGAGGUAAGUGGAAUUCCCAGUGUAGCGGUGAAAUGCGUAGAGAUUGGGAGGAACACCAGUGGCGAAGGCGACUUACUGGACUGUAACUGACGCUGAGGCGCGAAAGUGUGGGGAGCAAACAGGAUUAGAUACCCUGGUAGUCCACACUGUAAACGAUGAAUGCUAGGUGUAGGGGGUAUCGACCCCUUCUGUGCCGCAGUCAACACAAUAAGCAUUCCGCCUGGGGAGUACGGCAGCAAGGUUGAAACUCAAAGGAAUUGACGGGG